rnacentral:lncRNA from 11 species
CCGGGUGCGCGCGCCUGACGCUUUGUUUUGGUCUGGAGCCGGAAGGGACCCUUUUCUCGCGCCUAAGACCCAGGGAGGAAAGAAGGACAUCACCAUCAAAUGCACACAGAGGGAAAUACCGAUGAUUGGUGGAGUGUGUAUGGCAGGAAACUUGCUUCUGAAGUCCAGCGAGGCACCAGAAGAUCAUCUUGGGGCUCCAGCUUUUGGAGAUCUGGGUAUCAUAGAGUUGGAAGAGACCUCGUGGUACAUCCAGUCCAACCCACUGCCAAGAAGAAGGAAAAUUGCAUUCAAAGCACCCCCGACAGAUGGCCAUCCAGCCUCUGCUUAAAAGCCUCCAGGGAAGGAGCCUCCACCACACUCCGUGGCAAGGAGUUCCACUGCUGAACAGCUCUCACAGUUAGGAAGUUCUUCCUAAUGUUCAGGUGGAAUCUCCUUUCAUGUAGUUUGAAGCCAUUGUUCUACAUCCUAGUCUCCAGGGCAGAAGAAAACAAGCUUGCUCUCUCCUCCCUAUGACUUCCCCUCACAUAUUUAUACAUAUAUAAAUGUAUUACAUGUGCAUUGCACAUGCAGUUAUGGAUAAUUACUUGUGAACUUACACUGUAAACCAAAUAUUUUUCAUGUAACGUUUUUACUUAAUCCUCCCAAGUUAGGGAAGAGGAUGAGUCCCUUCAGGAAGAUAGGAUAGUAUAUAA